GACGAACGCUGGCGGCGUGCCUAAUACAUGCAAGUCGAACGAACCGCGACUGAGUGCUUGCACUUGGUCAAGGUGAGUGGCGAACGGGUGAGUAACACGUGGGUAACCUACCUCAUAGUGGGGGAUAACAGUCGGAAACGACUGCUAAUACCGCAUAGGACAUGGAAUCACAUGAUUCUGUGAGGAAAGGUGGCGCAAGCUAUCGCUAAGAGAUGGACCCGCGGUGCAUUAGCUAGUUGGUAGGGUAAGGGCCUACCAAGGCGAUGAUGCAUAGCCGACCUGAGAGGGUGAUCGACCACAUUGGGACUGAGACACGGCCCAAACUCCUACGGGAGGCAGCAGUAGGGAAUCUUCCGCAAUGGACGCAAGUCUGACGGAGCAACGCCGCGUGAGUGAAGAAGGUCUUCGGAUCGUAAAGCUCUGUUGUUAGAGAAGAACAGCGCAUAGAGUAACUGUUAUGCGUGUGACGGUAUCUAACCAGAAAGCCACGGCUAACUACGUG
rnacentral:rRNA from 1 species